rnacentral:tRNA from 1 species
UCCCUGGUGGCUCAGACGGUAAAGCGUCUGCCCGCAAUGCAGGAGACCCAGGUUCGAUCCCUGGGUCGGGAA